AUUGAACGCUGGCGGCAGGCCUAACACAUGCAAGUCGAACGAGUGGCGGACGGGUGAGUAAUGUCUGGGAAACUGCCCGAUGGAGGGGGAUAACUACUGGAAACGGUAGCUAAUACCGCAUACCAUCGGAUGUGCACAGAUGGGAGUAGCUUGUAGGUGAGGUAACGGCUCACCUAGGCGACGAUCCCUAGCUGUUCUGAGAGUAUGAGCAGCCACACUGGAACGUAGACACGGUCCAGACUCCUACGGGAGGCAGCAGUGGGGAAUAUUGGACAAGGGGUGCAAGCCUGAUGCAGCCAUGCCGCGGGUAUGAAGAAGGCCUUCGGGUUGUAAAGUACUUUCAGCGGGGAGGCGGUACCCGCAGAAGAAGCACCGGCGAACGACGUGCCAGCAGCCGCGGUAAUUC
rnacentral:rRNA from 1 species